AUUGAACGCUGGCGGCAGGCCUAACACAUGCAAGUCGAACGAGUGGCGGACGGGUGAGUAAUGUCUGGGAAACUGCCUGAUGGAGGGGGAUAACUACUGGAAACGGUAGCUAAUACCGCAUACCAUCGGAUGUGCCCAGAUGGGAUUAGCUAGUAGGUGGGGUAAAGGCUCACCUAGGCGCCGCUCCCUAGCUGGUCUGAGAGGAUGACCAGCCACACGGGAACUGAGAACAGGUCCAGACUCCUACGGGAGGCAGCAGUGGGGAAUAGUGCACAAUGGACGCAAGCCUGAGGAUGCCAGGCCGCGGGGAUGAAGAAGGUCUUCGGGUUGUAAAGUACUUUCAGCGGGGAGGCGUUACCAGCAGAAGAAGCACCGGCUAACUCCGUGCCAGCAGCCGCGGUAAUAC
rnacentral:rRNA from 1 species